rnacentral:rRNA from 1 species
CCUUCAAUAGUACUAGGGGAACCUGUGUGGUAAUCGACACUACCACGUUACUUCUCACCUUCUCUUGAAACCUUCAGUAUGUAUACCUCCGUCUUGACUCACCUUUAAGAGUCUUAGAGUGAGUAAACAGUAAAUAACUACCUCAUGACAGGUCAAGGUGCAGCCUAUGAGAAGGAUCAUCAUGGGUGACAAUUCAGUAAAAGACUAAUGGACUUCCUUUGGAAACAAAGGGAUGAAAAUGGACUUAGAAGUAAAGGUAUCUUUAGAAAAAAUACCUUGAAACACUCCCUAGAAGGUGCACAAAUC